GAAUCAUCGUCAUGCACUAUGUCCCCAGCCAUCACAGAAGACGGGUAACACACCAACGAAAUCACAGCUGCAACAUAGAUUACGAAGCAAAGCUUCACCAAAUCCAUGGGUUCCCCUCUCAAGUAAAUUCCCUUGCGCGUUCUCUCUUUGCAACGCAAAACUUAGAGCAGAGUGGGACGCAGACAGAACAAAGUGAGAGAGAGAG
rnacentral:misc_RNA from 1 species